AAACUUUAGAAGAGGCAAUAAUCAGAAUAAUAGAGCAAAUGCUGAUUAAGAUUGAGCUCAAGAACAAAAUCACACUCUUGACACGUUGUUUGUCCAAAGGAAUGAUGACAUGGAUGUGGUGGCAAGCCUGGUCGAGGGUAGUGAAAAGUGAAAAGGCAAGCACAUUGUCGUGGAUAAAUCCUUAGACACAAUCAUAUUUUCAAGUAUUCAACACAAGGCCGCUUGCCUUAAGCUAAAUAUUAUUGAGGCAGAGGAUUGGGAUGAGACAAAGUAAGUAAUAUUUUUUCUUCAGAAAUUUUAUCUCGAGUCACCAAAAGAGACUUUGAUUAAGAGUCGCCUUGUAUGAAUUUCAACGUGGAUGGAAAUCAUUUCUCUGGAGCACUUCCAUGGUUUGGGGGACUUGGAAUAGCAUUUCUCUUUCUUUCCUUUCUUUCGUUUUUGAGUAUAUAUAAUUUCCAUUUACCUUGGUUAUGGAGGAUCGUUAUGAUUAAUUUUGUAUUUUGUAUUCAUUGAGUAAGCAUGAAAGUUGUUCUGAUGAUGAGGAACAAAACAUGAAGGAGGACUCCAAAGGCAACUACAACGAAGGAAGCAGCAACAUCAAAGAUGAGUAAUUUAAUUACUAGAGUUUGUUAUGUAAUUUGAAGCAUUUGGAAAUAUUCCUCUUUGUAUUUGUUAGACAGCAUUCUCUCUAAUUUAUUUUCAGUUUGUAAUAUUCAGACAUGUUCCUCUUUAUUUUCUUUUUGGUGUAAUAAUGUGUAGUUUGAAUUUCUGGGAUGUUGCUUAUAUGCAUGGCCACAUAUGCUGCUUCACUAACAAAUAGUUAUGUUCACUCGGGGAGAAAAGAAGGAAGAAAAAGUAGUGAUUGGUGGGUUGGUUAAUUAAUGCUAUAUGUGUGUAAGAGGAUAAAACGGUAAAAAAUGAGUUUUGUGGUUUUUAAAGUUCUUUCGACUUCAUCAACGAUGAGUAAUUUAAUUACUAGAGUUUGUUUUGUAAUUUGUUCUAACCAAAUUCUCUCUAUUUUAUUUUCGGUGUGUAAUUUCAAGUAUACAGACAUAACCCUGUUUUUUUUUUUUUUUUUGGAUGUAUAAUAAUGUGUAGUAAGAAUUUCUGGGAUGUUACUCAUAUGUUUCGCCACAUAUGCAGUUUAGGUUACAAAUAGUAAUGUGCACUUAGAAAUGAAAGAAGAAAAAGUAGUCAAAGGCGGGUUGAUCAAUUAAUGUCAUGUGUGUGUAUGAGGAUAAAAUGGGAAAAAAAAAGAGUUUUGUGGUUUUUACAUUUCUUUCGACUUCAUUGACCAUGUGGAGGGUUUAAAUUUCCUUGGACUUCCCUAUUUACAGUUGCUUAAAGGCUAACAUUCCUCUAAUAACUAUUGAAAAAGUUACAACACGACCCCUCCAUGUGCAUAUGAAUGGCUACAAUACACGACUACAACACGACCUCCAUGUGCCUAUAUGAGAGACUACAACCCGAUCCCUCCAUGUGCAUAGAUGAAAGAAAAGACAUAGAUAUGUGCACUGAUCAAAGGCUGAGUUUAAUUUGUUUUUCCCUCCUGUUAGCAUAAUGGCCCCAAGUCCAAACUUCAAAUUUCAAGUUUCAGUGACUUUUCUGUAAGGCACGGGCAAUCAGGGUCUACCAAACUCUACAAAAGGCAAGAAUCAAGAUAAUAGAGCAAAUGCUGAUUAAGAUUGAGCUCUAGAACAAAUCCACACCUUCGAUACGUUGUUUGUCCAAAGGAACGAUAUCAUGGAUAUGUUGGCAAGCCUUGUCGAGGGUAGCGAAAAGUGAAGAGGCACACACAUUGUCGUGGAUAAAUCCUUAGACAUUAUCACAUUUUCAAGUAUUCAACGCAAGGCCGCUCACCUUAAGCUAAAUACUAUUGAGGCAAAAGAUUGGGAGGAGAAAAAGCAAUAUUUUUUCUUCAAAAUUUUUAUUUCGAGUCACCCAAAGAGACUUUGAUUAAGAGUCUCCUUGUAUCGACUUCAACGUGGAUGGAAAACAUUUCAUUGGAGGACUUCCAUGGUUUGGAGGACAUGGAAUAACAUUUCUUUUUCUUUCAUUUCUUUUGUGUUUGAGUAUUUAUAAUUUCCAUUUACCUUGGUUAGGGAGGAUCAUUACGAUCAAUUUUGUAUUUGUAUUUGUAUUUAUUUAUUGAGUAAGCAUGAAAGCUCUUCUGAUUAUGAGGAACAAAACACGGGGGAUGACUUUAAAGGUAACUACAACAGAGGUAGCAGCAACAUCAAGGAUAUGUAAUUUAAUUACUAGAUUUUGUUAUGUAAUUUGAAGUAUUUGGACAACAUUCUCUCUAUUUUAUUUCGGUGUGUAAUUUUAAGGGUUUAGACAUA
rnacentral:lncRNA from 1 species